rnacentral:rRNA from 1 species
UAACGCAAUAAGCACUCCGCCUGGGGAGUACGACCGCAAGGUUGAAACUCAAAGGAAUUGACGGGGGCCCGCACAAGCGGUGGAGCAUGUGGUUUGAUUCGAAGCAACGCGAAGAACCUUACCAGGUCUUGACAUCCCGAUGCUAUUCUUAGAGAUAGGAAGUUACUUCGGUACAUCGGAGACAGGUGGUGCAUGGUUGUCGUCAGCUCGUGUCGUGAGAUGUUGGGUUAAGUCCCGCAACGAGCGCAACCCUUAUUGUUAGUUGCCAUCAUUAAGUUGGGCACUCUAGCGAGACUGCCGGUAAUAAACCGGAGGAAGGUGGGGAUGACGUCAAAUCAUCAUGCCCCUUAUGACCUGGGCUACACACGUGCUACAAUGGUCGGUACAACGAGUUGCGAGCCGGUGACGGCAAGCUAAUCUCUGAAAGCCGAUCUCAGUUCGGAUUGGAGGCUGCAACUCGCCUCCAUGAAGUCGGAAUCGCUAGUAAUCGCGGAUCAGCACGCCGCGGUGAAUACGUUCCCGGGCCUUGUACACACCGCCCGUCACACCACGAGAGUUUGUAACACCCGAAGUCGGUGAGGUAACCUUUUAGGGGCCA